UUGGUGACUCGGGGCUCACUCAGGCGGAGGCUAUGCGUCUCACCUGUGGUCACGAGUUGUUAGUUCGUUCGUGAUGUAGGAAUUCAAGCUUUCGGGCGGAAGCUAUGGCCGACGCCAGAGGCCACGAGUCGUUUAAUUUAAGUUAGGUCAUAAUGUAGUCAUCUUCAAGCUUUCGGGCGGAGGCUAUGGCCCUCGUCAGGGGUCACGCGUCAUAGUUUUUAAAAUGUAAUGUUCGUUCGGGAUUUCAAGGGCAGGAGAGGCCCCUACGUUAUUUUUUUAAAGUAAUCGAUCAAGAAAGGCUUUUCGGAAAAUGUGAGUAUGGACUUAUCUUUGUUUUAAUUUUAAGUAUUAAUUAUGAUUUGAGGUAUUCGGAAGGACUAGGGAAGUGUUUAGUGAAGUUCUCUCAUUCUCUCUCUUGUAAGGUCGUUCAAUCGUUAAGGAAGUAAAGAGAUUAUUGUUUUAAAUUGUAAUCCCGCUAUUUAAAUGUUCUUUAAAAUGAUGUUUAGUAUUUGACUUUAAGAAUAAAAUAAUUUUAAUUAAGUAUUAUGUUAUUUUGCAAAAUCUCCUUAGUUCAGCUCUCACCAGACAUCCUGUACGGGAUGACGAACCUAUGAUCCUAGGUACAGUAAAGUAUUUUAUGAAGUUAAGACUAGUUGAUGCCAAGCGAGUUGUUUCUAUGUAAAGAGCUACGAUUCUCGCCCCCCCCUCUGAAGGUGGAUCGUGACAGAAAUGGUGGAGGCGCCGGGUAGGUUCUAUUUCUGGAGAGAGAGAGAGGUAGAUUUUUAUGUUUAUUAUUAAGUUAGUUUCAGCUUCUGAUAGCAGGUUAUUAAGAGUUUACUUGAGGAGAGGAUUACGGAAUUUAAUCUAAGUGGAGGAAGUCUUUGAGAUUUUUUUUUGACGUAACAGAUGUUUAUUUGAGUAUACUUGUAAGGAUAAAGUUUAUAGUGAUAAGUUGUUUUAAGUCGUUGAGUUUAUCAGGGAUUUUUACGUGAGGAGAAUACGUUAUAAUUUAAAUGAUUAAUAGAGAUAAUGCAAGUGGUUUAAUUUAAUUGAAAUUAAUUUUAAGAUUGUAGGUUAAGAGAGUUAAAAUUUAAAAUAAAGUUUUUUUCGUAAAUAGGAAUUAUUUUCAAGUGAAGUUUGUUUUGCUGUCGUGCGCGUAGGAGACGAGACGUACGAAUUAAAUCAGUCGAGGGAAGGAUAAACGUUAGAAAGGAAUUAAAGAGAAAACGAGAGUUUAUGUAAAAGAGAGUUAUAGAAUUUAUACCUAGUGAUGUUUUGUUUUAAUUAGAAAAAUGUUGAGAGUUGUUUCAGAACGACACGUCAGUGGACGUGGCAGAAUGAACACGUGACGGGGAGGUGCUGAGACCUAGCGGAGAACGGAGGAACCGCAAGCGAGGGUUGGCGCACCUGAUGGAAUUCGGUGACGUCACGAGCACGUACAGAGACGUGGACGGCCGUGACCUUGUUUUGAUCAGCUGUACGGUAACUUAGCGAUAAGAAAAUAGACUAUUGGUUAAAUAAAUUUAAAUUUAAGUGUGUUUUAGAAGAAGAGGAACUUUCAGUAUAUUCCUUAAGAUGAGCUGAGCAGCAGUCCAGUUUACAAGAUGACAAGAGUUCGAGAGACAAGAUACAAGAUCACUGAAACAAGAGCCAAGACUGAAGAUUCAAGAGAAGAGAAAGCUGGCAGCCAUGGACUUACAAGUGGAGAUUAAUAAGGUCAUGUAAAGUUUUUUUUUUUUUAUGGAAGACAGUAACUGGAGUUUUUUUUUGUUAUAAACAUUAUUUACAGAACUUUUUAGGUUAUAGUAAUGUAAUGGAACUAGUGAGUUGUGGUAGCUGUCAAAAAGAACUAAUACCUUAAGUUUAAUUUUUAAAGUUAAUUUUCUUAAUUUACAGAGGGAUUAGUAGUUUUUUUUAAACCUUAUUUAGGUUGGAAUUUAAAUACAAUAGCUUAUUAUAAAUGUGUACGAACAGUUCAAGUUCACAGUACUGAUAGGUAGGUCAGAUGAUCUUAUUGAUUUUGAUGAUUUGUUGUUUUGAGUUGAUUUUUAAGUGUUGUGAAUUAGACAAUGAAAUAGUUCUGAAAACUUAAAUUAUUUCAAGCUAAGAAAUAGUAAAGUUAAUUGUAACUCAAAGGACACCAGAAUUUAAUUUUUUUUUGAAUUAGUAAUGUUUGAAAAUUUUAUACUUUACAAGAAAGGUUAUAAACAAACAGAUCGGAUGGAACAAGGAUGCAGUAAAUCACAAUUUCAUUUAGAAUUAUUGAUUAGCUUUUGAGGUUAUGAAGUAAAAGUAAUUAUAGUUUAAAAGUUUGAAUAAAAAAAAAUGUUUUU